AGGACGAACGCUGGCGGCGUGCUUCACACAUGCAAGUCGAGCGGUGAUCCACUUCGGUGGUGAUCAGCGGCGAACGGGUGAGUAACACGUGAGCAAUCUGCCCUCGACCCUGGGAUAACUAUGGGAAACCGUAGCUAAUACCGGAUACGACCACCGACGACAUCGCCUGGUGGUGGAAAGCUCCGACGGUCGGGGAUGAGCUCGCGGCCUAUCAGCUUGUUGGUGGGGUAAUGGCCUACCAAGGCGACGAC
rnacentral:rRNA from 1 species